rnacentral:lncRNA from 1 species
GUAACUUUCUAUCCGUCCGCGUCAGCGCCUUGCCACCCUCAUCUCCAAUAUGCCUGGUCCGACCCCCAGUGGCACUAACGUGGGAUCCUCAGGGCGCUCUCCCAGCAAAGCAGUGGCCGCCCGGGCGGCGGGAUCCACUGUCCGGCAGAGGAAAAAUGCCAGCUGUGGGACAAGGAGUGCAGGCCGCACAACCUCGGCAGGCACCGGGGGGAUGUGGCGAUUCUACACAGAAGAUUCACCUGGGCUCAAAUGGCCCUGUUCCAGUAUUGGUUAUGAGUCUUCUGUUCAUCGCUUCUGUAUUUAUGUUGCACAUUUGGGGCAAGUACACUCGUUCGUAGAUUCAGUUACAUCCAUCUGUCAUCUGAAGAAGGAGGAAAAAACCCAACAUUUCUUGGACCAAAAGUAUAGUGACUAUCUGUUCAUGAGAGAAAUUUUCUGUAAGCUUGCUGUUUUACAGGGGAUUUAUCAAUAAUUGAUUUUGAGGAAUCAGUUUUUUUCUAUGGCUAAUAAACUUUUUAAUUCAC